UGUGGAAGGGAAUGCUGAAAAUGUUGAUAGCUGUCACCGCAGGUCUGGAGCAGACGUACAUCAAUCACGGCUCUGGAGGUAUGGCAUCCUCCUUCCAGUUGCUGGAAAUCGCUCACACCCAUUAUUGGACGAAAGACGUGAGUGAUGGCAAGUUUUCGGAUUUCGCUUCAACCAGCCUUCUGAUGACUGUAAAAUCCUACGUAUUGACGCCUACUGACGGGCCCAAAACCAUCCAUUUCCUAUUCAUGACGCCUACUGCGCAAGCGUCAUUGCGUGGCAGUCCAAUGGGCAGUCGAGAAAACCUACCGUCACCUCAUAGUCCAUGGACUAGUGUUUUGGCUACAGAGUCAGAUAGAAGUUACAGCAAUUCACCGGAAGCAGCUGGAACACCAGUUCCAUCUCGAAUGUCACGAAGUGACGCGUCCAGCCCAGAGCCAGGCAAUCCAGACAUACUGCGUAAACUGUUGGAGCGCAAACGAAACCUUAUGUUGCUCUCUUUACAAGGGGAAUCUCAAACUAGCCUUGCAAGCGGCGACGGGCAAGGAUCGUGCAGUGCUUCUGAGGCUGGGAGUAUCAUUACCAAUCCGGCCUUUUACCGUCAGAAACUCUCCCAUCAAUCCUUUAGAAGCACCAUGUUGGUUGGAGAGCCAGAUC